rnacentral:tRNA from 1 species
ACCUAUAUAGCUUAUAUAAUAGAGCAUUGCACUGAAGCUGCAAAGGAAAUUAGUCUAAUUUGUAGGUA